rnacentral:lncRNA from 1 species
GUUACCUAGCAUAGUUGGUUAAAGACUUGAUGAUCAACAAGUAGAUCUCAAGUUUAAAGCCUAAUUAUUUCAUAUUUUUAGCUAUAUUUUUUUCAAAACAACAAAAAAAAUAGACAAGUUACUACUUUUCUAUAUAUAUGCGUCUGGUAUACUUCUGGAAGCACGGAGCGUUCCAUGCUUUUAAGUUGUUUUCGAUGUUUGGACUUUCGAAUCGACGAUCGGCUCCGUUAGACUUGAUCUAGAGUAUUUGAAGUAUCUAGAAAAUAAAUUUUGCGAUUUUUCGAUAUCAUUUGCCUAGUAAUCGAAGUGGCUCAAAAUCAACGGCUGAAAAUAAAAAACUUACAAAAUAUGAUGAUAUGACAUUAAAAUUUUAGAUCAAAGUUAUUAAUCUUGUUUUAUAUGGUAUAAAGAAUUUUCUGUCAAAAUUUCAUGUGAUUUGAAUAUUUCUACACUGUUAAACUUGUAAACGGCUCACCACGGUCAUUAAAAUUAUUGAUUUUGAGCCCCUUCGAUCACUAGGCAAAUGAUAUCGAAAAAUCACAAAAUU